rnacentral:rRNA from 1 species
AAUACGCUCGCGACCCUGUGGGGAUGUGAGGAAAAGCGCUUCGGCGCUGCUCGAGGAUGAGCCUGCGGCCGAUUAGUUAGUUGGUGGGGUAACGGCCUACCAAGGCGACGAUCAGUAGCCGGCCUGAGAGGGUGAGCGGCCACACUGGGACUGAGAUACGGCCCAGACUCCUACGGGAGGCAGCAGCUAAGAAUCUUCUACAAUGGACGAAAGUCUGAUAGAGCGACGCCGCGUGGGUGAUGAAGGCCGGAAGGUUGUAAAGCCCUUUUCUAUUCGAGGAAUAAGGUGUGGAGGCAAUGCCACACUGAUGACGGUAGGGUAGGAAUAAGCCCCGGCCAAUUACGUGCCAGCAGCCGCGGUAACACGUAUGGGGCGAGCGUUGUUCGGAAUCAUUGGGCGUAAAGGGCGCGUAGGCGGAUAUGCAAGCUUGGUGUGAAAGACCGCAGCUCAACUGCGGGAGCGCGCUGAGAACUGCAUAUCUUGAGUUCAAGAGGGGAAGCUGGAAUUCCAGGUGUAGGGGUGAAAUCUGUAGAUAUCUGGAAGAACAUCAGUGGCGAAGGCGAGCUUCUGGCUUUGAACUGACGCUGAGGCGCGAAAGCGUGGGGAGCGAACAGGAUAAGAUACCCUGGUAGUCCACGCUGUAAACGAUGUGCACUAGGGUGUUGGGCCGUU